CUGGGUUUGACAUGCAGGUGGUAGUUGGCGGAAACGUCGGCGACCUUCGGGAGCCUGCACAGGUGCUGCAUGGCUGUCGCCAGCUCGUGCCGUGAGGUGUUAAGUUAAGUCCUGUAACGAGCGCAACCCCCGGUAGUAGUUACACGUGCCUACUACGACUGCCCGUGACAAGCGGGAGGAAGGUGGGGAUGACGUCAAGUCAGCAUGGCCUUUAUAUCCAGGGCUACACACACGCUACAAUGGCCGGUACAAUGGGACGCCAAGGGGUAACCCGGAGCUAAUCCAGCAAAGCCGGUCUCAGUUCGGAUUGUGGGCUGCAACCCGCCCACAUGAAGUUGGAGUUGCUAGUAACCGCGCGUCAGCUAUAGUGCGGUGAAUA
rnacentral:rRNA from 1 species